GAUGAACGCUAGCGAUAGGCUUAACACAUGCAAGUCGAGGGGCAGCACAAGGUAGCUUGCUAUCUGGGUGGCGACCGGCGCACGGGUGCGUAACGCGUAUGCAACUUGCCCUAUACAGGAGGAUAACCCGUCGAAAGACGGACUAAUACUGCGUAUGCUCACAACUUGGCAUCAAGUGGUGAGGAAAGAAAUUCGGUAUAGGAUAGGCAUGCGUCCCAUUAGCUUGUUGGUGAGGUAACGGCUCACCAAGGCAACGAUGGGUAGUGGAACUGAGAGGUUUAUCCCCCACACUGGUACUGAGACACGGACCAGACUCCUACGGGAGGCAGCAGUGAGGAAUAUUGGUCAAUGGGCGCGAGCCUGAACCAGCCAAGUCGCGUGAAGGAUGACUGUCUUAUGGAUUGUAAACUUCUUUUAUACGGGAAUAACAAGAGUCACGGGUGACUCCCUGCAUGUACCGUAUGAAUAAGCAUCGGCUAACUCCGUG
rnacentral:rRNA from 1 species